rnacentral:rRNA from 1 species
CCUACGGGUGGCAGCAGUGGGGAAUAUUGGGCAAUGGGCGCAAGCCUGACCCAGCAACGCCGCGUGAAGGAAGAAGGCUCUCGGGUUUUAAACUUCUUUUCUCAAGGAGGUAGAAAGUGACGGUACCUGAGUAAUACGCCACCGUUAACUACGUGCCAGCAGCCGCUGCAGUACGUAGGUGACAAGCGUUAGCCGGAUUUACUGGGUGUAAAGGGCGUGUAGGCGGGAAAGCAAGUCAGAUGUGAAACUCACGGGCUCAACCUGUAGCUUGCAUUUGAAACUGGUUGUCUUGAGUACUGGAGAGGCAGGCGGAAUUCGUAGUGUAGCGGUGAAAUGCGUAGAUAUUAGGAAGAACACCAGUGGCGAAGGCGGUUUGCUGGACAGCGACUGACGCUGAGGCGCGAAAGCGUGGGGAGCAAACAGGAUUAGAUACCCGGGUAGUC